AUCGCUUCUCGGCCUUUUGGCUAAGAUCAAGUGUAGUAUCUGUUCUUAUCAGUUUAAUAUCUGAUAUGUCCUCUAUCAGGGGACAACAUAUUAAAUGGAUUUUUAGAUUAGAUUAGAUUAGAUUAGAUUCAACUUUAUUGUCAUUACACAUGUACAGGUACAAGGCAACGAAAUACAGUUUGGGUCUAACCAGA